rnacentral:rRNA from 1 species
GCGAACGCUGGCGGCAGGCCUAACACCUGCAAGUCGAACGAACCUUUCGGGGUUAGUGGCGGACGGGUGAGUAACACGUGGGAACGUGCCUUUAGGUUCGGAAUAACUCAGGGAAACUUGUGCUAAUACCGAAUGUGCCCUUCGGGGGAAAGAUUUAUCGCCUUUAGAGCGGCCCGCGUCUGAUUAGCUAGUUGGUUGAGGUAAUGGCUCACCAAGGCGACGAUCAGUAGCUGGUCUGAGAGGAUGAUCAGCCACAUUGGGACUGAGACACGGCCCAAACUCCUACGGGAGGCAGCAGCGGGGAAUCUUGCGCAAUGGGCGAAAGCCUGACGCAGCCAUGCCGCGUGAAUGAUGAAGGUCUUAGGAUUGUAAAAUUCUUUAACCGGGGACGAUAAUGACGGUACCCGGAGAAGAAGCCCCGGCUAACUUCGUG